AGAGUUUGAUCCUGGCUCAGGAUGAACGCUGGCGGCGUGCCUAAUACAUGCAAGUCGAGCGAACGGACGAGAAGCUUGCUUCUCUGAUGUUAGCGGCGGACGGGUGAGUAACACGUGGAUAACCUACCUAUAAGACUGGAUAACUUCGGGAAACCGGAGCUAAUACCGGAUAAUAUUUUGAACCGCAUGGUUCAAAAGUGAAAGACGGUCUUACUGUCACUUAUAGAUGGAUCCGCGCUGCAUUAGCUAGUUGGUAAGGUAACGGCUUACCAAGGCAACGAUGCAUAGCCGACCUGAGAGGGUGAUCGGCCACACUGGAACUGAGACACGGUCCAGACUCCUACGGGAGGCAGCAGUAGGGAAUCUUCCGCAAUGGGCGAAAGCCUGACGGAGCAACGCCGCGUGAGUGAUGAAGGUCUUCGGAUCGUAAAACUCUGUUAUUAGGGAAGAACAUAUGUGUAAGUAACUGUGCACAUCUUGACGGUACCUAAUCAGAAAGCCACGGCUAACUACGUGCCAGCAGCCGCGGUAAUACGUAGGUGGCAAGCGUUAUCCGGAAUUAUUGGGCGUAAAGCGCGCGUAGGCGGUUUUUUAAGUCUGAUGUGAAAGCCCACGGCUCAACCGUGGAGGGUCAUUGGAAACUGGAAAACUUGAGUGCAGAAGAGGAAAGUGGAAUUCCAUGUGUAGCGGUGAAAUGCGCAGAGAUAUGGAGGAACACCAGUGGCGAAGGCGACUUUCUGGUCUGUAACUGACGCUGAUGUGCGAAAGCGUGGGGAUCAAACAGGAUUAGAUACCCUGGUAGUCCACGCCGUAAACGAUGAGUGCUAAGUGUUAGGGGGUUUCCGCCCCUUAGUGCUGCAGCUAACGCAUUAAGCACUCCGCCUGGGGAGUACGACCGCAAGGUUGAAACUCAAAGGAAUUGACGGGGACCCGCACAAGCGGUGGAGCAUGUGGUUUAAUUCGAAGCAACGCGAAGAACCUUACCAAAUCUUGACAUCCUUUGACAACUCUAGAGAUAGAGCUUUCCCCUUCGGGGGACAAAGUGACAGGUGGUGCAUGGUUGUCGUCAGCUCGUGUCGUGAGAUGUUGGGUUAAGUCCCGCAACGAGCGCAACCCUUAAGCUUAGUUGCCAUCAUUAAGUUGGGCACUCUAAGUUGACUGCCGGUGACAAACCGGAGGAAGGUGGGGAUGACGUCAAAUCAUCAUGCCCCUUAUGAUUUGGGCUACACACGUGCUACAAUGGACAAUACAAAGGGCAGCGAAACCGCGAGGUCAAGCAAAUCCCAUAAGUGUUCUCAUUCGGAUUGUAGUCUGCAACUCGACUACAUGAAGCUGGAAUCGCUAGUAAUCGUAGAUCAGCAUGCUACGGUGAAUACGUUCCCGGGUCUUGUACACACCGCCCGUCACACCACGAGAGUUUGUAACACCCGAAGCCGGUGGAGUAACCUUUUAGGAGCUAGCCGUCGAAGGUGGGACAAAUGAUUGGGGUGAAGUCGUAACAAGGUAGCCGUAUCGGAAGGUGCGGCUGGAUCACCUCCUUU
rnacentral:rRNA from 1 species